UCCGCUUACUCAAACCCUGGAAAUCACGGUAUUUUUAUCAUCCUCAUAGUUUUGUCUUCUCAUAUAUGUGGCACAGUUAAAAGUAUACAUCUCUCUUCUGUUGGCUGUCAGAUUUGGAAGUUUCUCUUGACAUAUGUUCAGACUCAGAGAUUCUUUCCUCAGCUGUGCUCAAUCUACUAUAGUGAUUUACAGAUAUGAGAGUUGGACCAUUAAGAAGGCUGAGCACCAAAGAAUUGAUGCUUUUGAACUGUCAUGCUAGAGAAGACUCUUGAGAGUCCUUUGGACAGCAAGGAGAUCAAACCAGUCAAUCCUAAAGGAGUUUUACCUUGAAUAUUCAUCGAAAGGACUGAUAGCUCAACUGGAAUUCCAUCAAAACCACUAGCUUUGUUCAUAGCGAUGCUUCCUAAGGCCCACUUGACUUUGCAUUCCAGGAUGUCUGCCUCUAGGUAUUAUAGAGGAGUCACAGAUAGUAUUCCAAUGAUACCUGAGAAAUGGAGUCAUUGAUUGAAGCACUUCAAGAUGAGCCAGUGAGCCAUGGAAGGGAAAUACCUGCCACCAGGGCUUCCCAGGUGGCUCAGUGGUAAAAUAAUCCGUCUGCCAAUCCAGGAGACACAGGAGAAACAGGUUUGAUACCUGGGUCAGAAAGAUCUGCUGGCGGAGGAAAUGGCCACCCACUCCAGUAUUCUUGCCUGAAAAAUCCCACAGACAGAGGAACCUGGCAAGAUAAUAUCCAUAGGAUUGCAGAGACUGUCAGGACUGAGUGACUAAGCACGAUACAUAGCAAGAAUUAGUUUUGGAGGAAAUAUGUUGUAUUCAAUUAUGUUUCUUCAUUUUAUUUUUAUUAAACUUUUAAUUAAGCUAAAAUGUGCAUUAAGAAAUAUAUAAAUAGUAUAUGUAGAGGUUAGUGAGUUUUCACAAAAUGUGCACACCUGUGCUACUAACACUUAGAUAAAAAAAUCAGAAUAUUACCAGAACCCC